rnacentral:lncRNA from 1 species
CGCUUUUAUGUAUAUAUGUACGUUUGGCCUAAGUUUGGUUCACCUGUGUUUAAACGCACACUGAUUAGGCUUAGCCUAUUUACACACCUGUUGACUAUUUUUAAAUAGUGGUCAAUCGAGUUCUUCGGACAGGUUUGGCUAUUUUUAAACAGUGGUCAGAUGAGUUCUUUGGACACGUUGUUUUUUUUUUUCUGCUUGGGAUUUUCGUGUGGAAGGAUGCCACACUCGUUAGAGCAUUUUCAUAUUUGUUAGCUAAAUUUAACCUACAAUGGUUCUACUGUAUAUAGUGCAUCAAUUCCGAGGUUCCAGCCUGCACCAGAGUUAUACAAUGCUGCGGUGUUAAGGAGUGGUCAUACAGAUUGAACGCAAUCAUACAUGAUAAUUCAUCAAACAACAUAUCUACAUAUUAUAGUGGAACUGUCGUGCACGAUACCAUAACUGUCAUAACGAUACCAUAACCGUCAUAACGAUAUAAAGGGAAGUAAUCUGGAUAUACAAUACAAACUACUGAAGCUGUUGGACUAUUUAUUUGGACUUUAAUAUUUAUAAUAAUUUGAUGUAUUUUUCUUCUUAAUUGUUUAUUUUUUUUGUUUGUUUAUUAAAUAAUUUAUUUAUUCUAAUCGUUGAUUCUUUGGUCAAUAUUGUAAAAUAGCACUGAAAGACUUCUCCAUCCGUCCGUCCGUGACAAUUGGUGUCAGAAGUGGGAUAAGUCUGAAGUGUUUUUUUUCUUAUACAUUUUGAAGUUAAAUUUAUAUUUUCUAUAGAAGAAUUGUUAUUUUUUUUUAUAUAUACAUUGAAUAUACAUUCAUAACGUGUAGUAAAGCUUACUAUUGUAUUUUUC